CAUGCAAGUCGAACGCGGAAGUCCCGCAAGGGAUUAGUGGAGUGGCAAACGGGUGAGUAACGCGUGGGUGACCUACCUCUGGGUGGGGGAUAACCUUCCGAAAGGAGGGCUAAUACCGCAUGACAGCCUCUGUAUGGAAACAGGGGACUCAAAGCCGGGGAUCGCAAGACCUGGCGCUUGGAGAGGGGCCCACGUCCGAUUAGCUAGUUGGUGGGGUAACGGCUCACCAAGGCUCCGAUCGGUAUCCGGCCUGAGAGGGCGGACGGACACACUGGAACUGAGACACGGUCCAGACUCCUACGGGAGGCAGCAGUGGGGAAUUGUUCGCAAUGGGCGCAAGCCUGACGACGCAACGCCGCGUGGAGGAUGAAGACCUUCGGGUCGUAAACUCCUUUCGACCGAGAUGAAUUUCCGCCGACCUAACACGUCGGCGGGCUGACAGUAUCGAGGGAAGAAGCCCCAGCUAACUCCGUGCCAGCAGCCGCGGUAAUACGGGGGGGGCAAGCGUUGUUCGGAAUUACUGGGCGUAAAGGGUUUGUAGGUGGCCUGCUAAGUCA
rnacentral:rRNA from 1 species